rnacentral:rRNA from 1 species
GAGUUUGAUUAUGGCUCAGGACAAACGCUGGCGGCGUGCAUAACACAUGCAAGUCGAACGAAAUCUACAUGAUUUAGUGGCGAACGGGUGAGUAACACGUGAGAAACCUGCCUUACACAGAGGGAUAGCCGUUGGAAACGACGAUUAAUACCUCAUGACACCGUGACAUCGCAUGAUGAUGCGGUCAAAGAUUAAUCGGUGUAAGAUGGUCUCGCGCCUGAUUAGCUGGUUGGUGGGGUAACGGCCUACCAAGGCGACGAUCAGUAGCCGAUCUGAGAGGGUGGACGGCCACAUUGGGACUGAGACACGGCCCAAACUCCUACGGGAGGCAGCAGUGGGGAAUUUUGCACAAUGGGGGAAACCCUGAUGCAGCGACGCCGCGUGAACGAAGAAGGCCUUCGGGUUGUAAAGUUCUGUCCUUGGUGAAGAUAAUGACCGUACCAGNAGAG